UACGUAGGGCGCGAGCGUUGUCCGGAUUUAUUGGGCGUAAAGAGCUCGUAGGCGGUUUGUCGCGUCUGCCGUGAAAGUCCGGGGCUCAACUCCGGAUCUGCGGUGGGUACGGGCAGACUAGAGUGAUGUAGGGGAGACUGGAAUUCCUGGUGUAGCGGUGAAAUGCGCAGAUAUCAGGAGGAACACCGAUGGCGAAGGCAGGUCUCGUGGGCAUUAACUGACGCUGAGGAGCGAAAGCAUGGGGAGCGAACAGG
rnacentral:rRNA from 1 species